rnacentral:rRNA from 1 species
AUUGAACGCUGGCGGCGUGCUUAACACAUGCAAGUCGUGCGGUAACAGGCGUAGCAAUACGUGCUGACGAGCGGCGAACGGGUGCGUAAUACAUGGGAAUCUGCCUUUUAGUGGGGAAUAACCCGGCGAAAGCCGGGCUAAUGCCGCAUAAGAUCUUCGGAUGAAAGCGGGGAUCGUAAGACCUCGCGCUGAUAGAUGAGCCCAUGCCGGAUUAGCUAGNGGUGAGGUAACGGCUCACCAAGGCGACGAUCCGUAGCUGGUCUGAGAGGACGGUCAGCCACACUGGGACUGAGACACGGCCCAGACUCCUACGGGAGGCAGCAGUGGGGAAUAUUGGACAAUGGGGAAACCCUGAUCCAGCGACGCCGCGUGUGUGAAGAAGGCCUGCGGGUUAAUAAAGC